rnacentral:rRNA from 1 species
CAAUAGCGUAUAUUAAAGUUGUUGCAGUUAAAAAGCUCGUAGUUGAAUUUCGGGUCCCCACGCUCGGCGCUUCAUUGUGCCGUCGUGGUGUCCCUCCUCGCCGUAAGGCGUCCUUUACUGUGAAAAAAUUAGAGUGUUCAAAGCAGGCAAUCGCUUGAAUACAUUAGCAUGGAAUAAUAAGAUAGGAUCUUGUCUAUUUUGUUGGUUGCGGACAACGAUAAUGAUUAAUAGGGAUAGUUGGGGGUGUCCGUAUUGAGCUGUCAGAGGUGAAAUUCUUGGAUUUGCUCAAGACGAACUACUGCGAAAGCAUUCACCAAGGAUGUUUUCAUUAA